AGGUAUGCGUAAUAAUAGCUGAGGUAUGCGUAAUAAUAGCUGAGGUAUGCGUAAUAAUAGCUGAGGUAUGCGUAAUAAUAGCUGAGGUAUGCGUAAUAAUAGCUGAGGUAUGCGUAAUAAUAGCUGAGGUAUGCGUAAUAAUAGCUGAGGUAUGCGUAAUAAUAGCUGAGGUAUGCGUAAUAAUAGCUGAGGUAGGCGUAAUAAUAGCUGAGGUAGGCGUAAUAAUAGCUGAGGUAGGCGUAAUAAUAGCUGAGGUAGGCGUAAUAAUAGCUGAGGUAGGCGCAAUAAUAGCUGAGGUAUGCGUAAUAAUAGCUGAGGUAUGCGUAAUAAUAGCUGAGGUAUGCGUAAUAAUAGCUGAGGUAUGCUUAAUAAUAGCUGAGGUAUGCUUAAUAAUAGCUGAGGUAUGCUUAAUAAUAGCUGAGGUAUGCGUAAUAAUAGCUGAGGUAUGCGUAAUAAUAGCUGAGGUAUGCGUAAUAAUAGCUGAGGUAUGUGUGUGGUUUGCUCAGUAGGUAGGUACUGUACAUUGGGUUGGAUUCUCUGGGAAUUUCAGAUGACCUGACUCUGUCCGUAGACAGGUGAUUGCCAUCUGCUCUGUGUGUGGGUAUGCAUGGAGAGAUGGGGGUGUGGAGGCAUCACACAUGUAUGAAUGCUUGCACCAAGGCGACACACACUUGGCAGAUACACACACCGAAGUACAAGCACACAAACACUCUGCAGUUACACACAUGCACACCAAAGCAGACUCUCUAUCUCUCUCUCUCUCUCUCUCACACACACACACACACACACACACACACACACACACACACACACACACACACACACACACACACACACACACACACACACACACACACACACACACACACACACACACACACACACACACAGAGAGAGAAACAAACUCACACAAACACCUAAGCGUGAAGACAGACACUUUUGCAGG